CGUUUAUUUUGUUGUUCUUGUUGUUGUUGUUCAGAGGAAUGGAAUAGUAAAAUAACGCAAUUGAUAGAAUCAAUGGUUCUUUUCUUUGACAUAAUGCAGGAAUUCCAUGAGGACAUGAGGUGUUACAUAAAACAGGCCUGGAGAUUACAGUUCAAAGUUGGAAUUCAAGUUUCAUAAAAUGGUUUGGUUAAGUGGAUUUCAUGGAUAUUGAUACUAGCACUCACUUGGAUAUGCUCCUACUCUAGAUGAAGGUGUAUUUUACAAAUAUGUGACUUAUUAGAGGCCUCCAUUUGCAUACACACCUCAAAUGCUUCUACCUUGUCUUCAUUCAAGUUAUACUUGAAAAGUGAGGGCCAGAGAAGGAAGGGUGGUUAAUAUCCACAUGGUUUCAUACGAUUGGAUAUGUAUUUCAGUAUUGUGCAACCCGAUGUCAUCUCGUGAUUGUGGGUUACAAAGUAUUAUACCAACAGG